UACGAAGGGGGCUAGCGUUGCUCGGAAUUACUGGGCGUAAAGCGCACGUAGGCGGUUUCUUAAGUCGGGGGUGAAAUCCUGGAGCUCAACUCCAGAACUGCCUUCGAUACUGAGAGACUUGAGUCCGGGAGAGGUGAGUGGAACUGCGAGUGUAGAGGUGAAAUUCGUAGAUAUUCGCAAGAACACCAGUGGCGAAGGCGGCUCACUGGCCCGGUACUGACGCUGAGGUGCGAAAGCGUGGGGAGCAAACAGG
rnacentral:rRNA from 1 species